rnacentral:rRNA from 1 species
GACGAACGCUGGCGGCGUGCUUAACACAUGCAAGUCGAACGGUAAGGCCCCUUCGGGGGUACACGAGUGGCGAACGGGUGAGUAACACGUGGGUGAUCUGCCCUGCACUCUGGGAUAAGCCUGGGAAACUGGGUCUAAUACCGGAUAUAAGCUCCUGUCGCAUGGCGGGGGUUGGAAAGGUUUACUGGUGCAGGAUGGGCCCGCGGCCUAUCAGCUUGUUGGUGGGGUAAUGGCCUACCAAGGCGACGACGGGUAGCCGGCCUGAGAGGGCGACUGGCCACACUGGGACUGAGACACGGCCCAGACUCCUACGGGAGGCAGCAGUGGGGAAUAUUGCACAAUGGGCGAAAGCCUGAUGCAGCGACGCCGCGUGAGGGAUGACGGCCUUCGGGUUGUAAACCUCUUUCAGCAGGGACGAAGCGAGAGUGACGGUACCUGCAGAAGAAGCACCGGCCAACUACGUGCCAGCCGCCGCGGUAACAC